GUGUUAUCCAAGGACUGCAGCUCUCCCCCCCCCUUUCUUAGACCCAUUCCUAGAGAAAAAUCAAUUAUUUUGCCUAGCCUGUGCUUGAGAAUAUAUACAAGGCAUAAUUUCUCGUCAGCAAAAUAAGAAGAGCAACGAUGGCUCACUUCACAGUUUUCUAGGAAGGAUUAAUAAGGUAGGAGGACUGCCCAUCCCCUUGUACAAUAGGAUUCUAUGAUUCUAAGUAAAAGGUAAGGUAAAGGGACCCCUGACCAUUAGGUCCAGUCGUGACCGACUCUGGGGUUGCGGCGCUCAUCUCGCUUUAUUGGCCGAGGGAGCCAGCAUACAGCUUCCGGGUCAUGUGGCCAGCAUGACUAAGCCGCUUCUGGCAAACCAGAGCAGCACAUGGAAACGCCCUUUACCUUCCCGCCGGAGCGGUACCUAUUUAUCUACUUGCACUUUGACGUGCUUUCGAAGUGCUAGGUGGGCAGGAGCUGGGACCGAGCGACGGGAGCUCACCCCAUUGGGGGGAUUCGAACCGCUGACCUUCUGAUCGGCAAGUCCUAGGCUCUGUGGUUUAACCCACAACGCCACCCGCAUCCCUAAGUACUUCUAAGUACUUCUCAAUAAAAUUGAAUCGGGAUGAUUGAGAUGCGGGAAUUUCUUGCAAAGGCUUGUGUGGAAAUCCCAAAGUUUGAAAUUCAGAAUGUCAGGGUUUGCUUAAAGUUCAGUCUAAAAGUGGAUCCCUAUUUGUUUACAAGAGGUGGGGGAUCUAUGGAGAUGCUGUAAAAAUGCAGAUCGGAAGACUUCUGUUUGAAUCACGAAAUGGCUCUUGGCAGUCAAGAUCAAAUGCUUCCCCCACCCUCGUCCUGCUUUCCCUUUCCCUCCUAGUUGGGCAAGACUCAGGAACAGGAGAAAAGCAGAAGCCACGACACAGGAGGUUUGCCUUUUCUACCUUAAUUUCUCACUGUAUUUUGCCAGUGUACAAAGGUGAAGCCCUGCAUUUCCCAACAUGGGAGUUGCGUCCCGGAUGCCAGCCCGAGAUCAUCCUAUGGAGCGCCCUCCGGUGAAGAGGAGGAUG